rnacentral:rRNA from 1 species
UACGGAGGGUGCAAGCGUUAUCCGGAUUCACUGGUUAAAGGUGUGUAGGCGGGUAGUUAAGUCAGUGGUGAAAUCUCCAGGCUCAACCUGGAAACUGCCAUUGAUACUAUCUAUCUUGAAUAUUGUUGAGGUAGGCGGAAUAAGUCAUGUAGCGGUGAAAUGCAUAGAUAUGACUUAGAACACCAAUUGCGAAGGCAGCUUACUAAACAGUUAUUGACGCUGAGGCACGAAAGCGUGGGGAUCAAACAGGAUUAAGAUACCCGAG